rnacentral:rRNA from 1 species
CUUUCAACAACGGAUCUCUUGGUUCCAGCAUCGAUGAAGAACGCAGCGAAAUGCGAUAAGUAAUGUGAAUUGCAGAAUUCAGUGAAUCAUCGAAUCUUUGAACGCACAUUGUGCCCCUCGGUAUUCCGGGGGGCAUGCCUGUUCGAGCGUCAUU